UUAAGCGACUAAGCGUACACGGUGGAUGCCCUGGCAGUCAGAGGCGAUGAAGGACGUGCUAAUCUGCGAUAAGCGUCGGUAAGGUGAUAUGAACCGUUAUAACCGGCGAUUUCCGAAUGGGGAAACCCAGUGUGUUUCGACACACUAUCAUUAACUGAAUCCAUAGGUUAAUGAGGCGAACCGGGGGAACUGAAACAUCUAAGUACCCCGAGGAAAAGAAAUCAACCGAGAUUCCCCCAGUAGCGGCGAGCGAACGGGGAGCAGCCCAGAGCCUGAAUCAGUGUGUGUGUUAGUGGAAGCGUCUGGAAAGGCGCGCGAUACAGGGUGACAGCCCCGUACACAAAAAUGCACAUGCUGGGAGCUCGAUGAGUAGGGCGGGACACGUGGUAUCCUGUCUGAAUAUGGGGGGACCAUCCUCCAAGGCUAAAUACUCCUGACUGACCGAUAGUGAACCAGUACCGUGAGGGAAAGGCGAAAAGAACCCCGGCGAGGGGAGUGAAAAAGAACCUGAAACCGUGUACGUACAAGCAGUGGGAGCACGCUUAGGCGUGUGACUGCGUACCUUUUGUAUAAUGGGUCAGCGACUUAUAUUCUGUAGCAAGGUUAACCGAAUAGGGGAGCCGAAGGGAAACCGAGUCUUAACUGGGCGUUAAGUUGCAGGGUAUAGACCCGAAACCCGGUGAUCUAGCCAUGGGCAGGUUGAAGGUUGGGUAACACUAACUGGAGGACCGAACCGACUAAUGUUGAAAAAUUAGCGGAUGACUUGUGGCUGGGGGUGAAAGGCCAAUCAAACCGGGAGAUAGCUGGUUCUCCCCGAAAGCUAUUUAGGUAGCGCCUCGUGAAUUCAUCUCCGGGGGUAGAGCACUGUUUCGGCAAGGGGGUCAUCCCGACUUACCAACCCGAUGCAAACUGCGAAUACCGGAGAAUGUUAUCACGGGAGACACACGGCGGGUGCUAACGUCCGUCGUGAAGAGGGAAACAACCCAGACCGCCAGCUAAGGUCCCAAAGUCAUGGUUAAGUGGGAAACGAUGUGGGAAGGCCCAGACAGCCAGGAUGUUGGCUUAGAAGCAGCCAUCAUUUAAAGAAAGCGUAAUAGCUCACUGGUCGAGUCGGCCUGCGCGGAAGAUGUAACGGGGCUAAACCAUGCACCGAAGCUGCGGCAGCGACACUAUGUGUUGUUGGGUAGGGGAGCGUUCUGUAAGCCUGUGAAGGUGUACUGUGAGGUAUGCUGGAGGUAUCAGAAGUGCGAAUGCUGACAUAAGUAACGAUAAAGCGGGUGAAAAGCCCGCUCGCCGGAAGACCAAGGGUUCCUGUCCAACGUUAAUCGGGGCAGGGUGAGUCGACCCCUAAGGCGAGGCCGAAAGGCGUAGUCGAUGGGAAACAGGUUAAUAUUCCUGUACUUGGUGUUACUGCGAAGGGGGGACGGAGAAGGCUAUGUUGGCCGGGCGACGGUUGUCCCGGUUUAAGCGUGUAGGCUGGUUUUCCAGGCAAAUCCGGAAAAUCAAGGCUGAGGCGUGAUGACGAGGCACUACGGUGCUGAAGCAACAAAUGCCCUGCUUCCAGGAAAAGCCUCUAAGCAUCAGGUAACAUCAAAUCGUACCCCAAACCGACACAGGUGGUCAGGUAGAGAAUACCAAGGCGCUUGAGAGAACUCGGGUGAAGGAACUAGGCAAAAUGGUGCCGUAACUUCGGGAGAAGGCACGCUGAUAUGUAGGUGAAGUCCCUCGCGGAUGGAGCUGAAAUCAGUCGAAGAUACCAGCUGGCUGCAACUGUUUAUUAAAAACACAGCACUGUGCAAACACGAAAGUGGACGUAUACGGUGUGACGCCUGCCCGGUGCCGGAAGGUUAAUUGAUGGGGUUAGCCGCAAGGCGAAGCUCUUGAUCGAAGCCCCGGUAAACGGCGGCCGUAACUAUAACGGUCCUAAGGUAGCGAAAUUCCUUGUCGGGUAAGUUCCGACCUGCACGAAUGGCGUAAUGAUGGCCAGGCUGUCUCCACCCGAGACUCAGUGAAAUUGAACUCGCUGUGAAGAUGCAGUGUACCCGCGGCAAGACGGAAAGACCCCGUGAACCUUUACUAUAGCUUGACACUGAACAUUGAGCCUUGAUGUGUAGGAUAGGUGGGAGGCUUUGAAGUGUGGACGCCAGUCUGCAUGGAGCCGACCUUGAAAUACCACCCUUUAAUGUUUGAUGUUCUAACGUUGACCCGUAAUCCGGGUUGCGGACAGUGUCUGGUGGGUAGUUUGACUGGGGCGGUCUCCUCCUAAAGAGUAACGGAGGAGCACGAAGGUUGGCUAAUCCUGGUCGGACAUCAGGAGGUUAGUGCAAUGGCAUAAGCCAGCUUGACUGCGAGCGUGACGGCGCGAGCAGGUGCGAAAGCAGGUCAUAGUGAUCCGGUGGUUCUGAAUGGAAGGGCCAUCGCUCAACGGAUAAAAGGUACUCCGGGGAUAACAGGCUGAUACCGCCCAAGAGUUCAUAUCGACGGCGGUGUUUGGCACCUCGAUGUCGGCUCAUCACAUCCUGGGGCUGAAGUAGGUCCCAAGGGUAUGGCUGUUCGCCAUUUAAAGUGGUACGCGAGCUGGGUUUAGAACGUCGUGAGACAGUUCGGUCCCUAUCUGCCGUGGGCGCUGGAGAACUGAGGGGGGCUGCUCCUAGUACGAGAGGACCGGAGUGGACGCAUCACUGGUGUUCGGGUUGUCAUGCCAAUGGCACUGCCCGGUAGCUAAAUGCGGAAGAGAUAAGUGCUGAAAGCAUCUAAGCACGAAACUUGCCCCGAGAUGAGUUCUCCCUGACUCCUUGAGAGUCCUGAAGGAACGUUGAAGACGACGACGUUGAUAGGCCGGGUGUGUAAGCGCAGCGAUGCGUUGAGCUAACCGGUACUAAUGAACCGUGAGGCUUAACCUU
rnacentral:rRNA from 1 species